GACGAACGCUGGCGGCGUGCUUAACACAUGCAAGUCGAACGGAAAGGCCCUGCUUUUGUGGGGUGCUCGAGUGGCGAACGGGUGAGUAACACGUGAGUAACCUGCCCUUGACUUUGGGAUAACUUCAGGAAACUGGGGCUAAUACCGGAUAGGAGCUCCUGCUGCAUGGUGGGGGUUGGAAAGUUUCGGCGGUUGGGGAUGGACUCGCGGCUUAUCAGCUUGUUGGUGGGGUAGUGGCUUACCAAGGCUUUGACGGGUAGCCGGCCUGAGAGGGUGACCGGCCACAUUGGGACUGAGAUACGGCCCAGACUCCUACGGGAGGCAGCAGUGGGGAAUAUUGCACAAUGGGCGGAAGCCUGAUGCAGCAACGCCACGUGCGGGAUGAAGGCCUUCGGGUUGUAAACCGCUUUCGCCUGUGACGAAGCGUGAGUGACGGUAAUGGGUAAAGAAGCACCGGCUAACUACGUG
rnacentral:rRNA from 1 species